GCCACCUUAGCUCAGCUGGCAGAGCAACCGCCUUGUAAGCGGUAGGUCAUCGGUUCGAAUCCGAUAGGUGGCUCCA
rnacentral:tRNA from 1 species